rnacentral:rRNA from 1 species
GGAUUAGAUACCCUGGUAGUCCACGCCGUAAACGAUGUCUACUAGUUGUUGGGAGACUUGAUCUCUUAGUAACGAAGCUAACGCGAUAAGUAGACCGCCUGGGGAGUACGGCCGCAAGGUUAAAACUCAAAUGAAUUGACGGGGGCCCGCACAAGCGGUGGAGCAUGUGGUUUAAUUCGAUGCAACGCGAAGAACCUUACCAAGUCUUGACAUCCAGAGAAGUUACCAGAAAUGGUUUCGUGCCUUCGGGAACUCUGAGACAGGUGCUGCAUGGCUGUCGUCAGCUCGUGUCG